UUUACGGGAAUAAAAACUUGAGAAUUUUGGUAAAAUAACCAAAUUUAGCACAUUCUUAGGGGUUUUAAAUACUUUUAUAUACGCCAGGAACAUUUUAAGUGGUAUAGGACCCUAAGUCUAUAAUAUAAAUAUACUGCUUUUGUAAGAUUUUUUUGAAAGUUUGGCGGCCAUGCGCGACCGGAAGUUAUAUAGAUAAGUAUUACUUUUUUGGUUACUUUUCUUGUCUAUACCAAUUGCAACUUUUGCGCACUAUAAUAUAUCGUUCCGGAAUUUAACAAAAAGUUUUUUUCGAGCCACUACCUACGUGUACAUUUGCAUCGUUCUCGAUACCCCGCUAUCCUUUACUCUAUUGCAAUUCGUACGUCUUAUUCUGUCUGCGUGGGACUAAAAUUUUUACAUUGGAAUUGCCGAAAAAGAAAUUCUUUUUGUUAGGAAGAAAAAAUGCACUUGUUCGUUCGAUGACAACCUUAAUGCUGUGAUAUCUAGGUAGCCAUAGUCUUCCAAAUCAUUUUGGAUGAGUAUCUGUGUUAGUAAAAUAUGCUUUUUUCGAACAAAUCCGUGCGUUAGGUACCUACGUCUAGUUCCAUGAAAGCAAUUGACUACUUGCACCUAUAAUUUAUAAAUAACUGUAGGUACUCCAGCACGCGUAAAGAACUUGAUUUUAGAUACUUCCUUAUUAGCACUUACGCACAUUUUUGCCUUUUACUCACCAAACUCGUAUUCUCUAAAUUAAAAAAUCAAAUCUGCAGACCACUUUCGCCUACUUUCCCGUCAUUCCUUCGAAUCUCUGAAUAAGGGAUGUCAUUAUAAAACUGUUUGCGUUGAGAAUUUCUUCUACUGUCAUUCGUGCACUCAAUAACGGGAUUUUCAAAGGCACAACACUUCAUCCACUUUGUAAUUUUGGGAGCGCUUGGAUUAAUGGGCCUAUGGAUAUUACACAUGCUAGCCCAAGACAUCGACAAAGUGUUCAAUAAACCCGCCUCGCGUCCACCCAAACUUUUCUGGAAACGAUCCAUUGGUGACGUUGACUAUUUCGCGAAUCGUACUGUCGAAAAUGUAGGAGCAAGUGGUGAGACUAACAUUUCCGUUGAUUGGAACCGAAUACUUACCAACGAUCCCAUCGGCUGCGUAAGGAGCUUUGCUUGCCAAUUGGCGGCGGAAGAUUCAAAACGGUCUUCUACAAAUAAAGGAAACAUAAAUCAGCUGUUUUGGUCCGCAAAGCGCAAAGGAUGGGCUGGUGAUGAAAUACGAUUUGCAUUAAAUUACGGCACAAAUUCUAAAAAAGUUGAAAAGUGUCGUGCUUUUUAUAAAUACUGUCCGUUUUCAAUUGAUACUAUGAGAGACAUAUUAAAAUUUUUUGGGGCUACUUAAUGAAUUGAACAACUUACUCCAAAGACCUGCAGUUUGUAUU